rnacentral:rRNA from 1 species
UGGGGAAUCUUGCGCAAUGGGGGAAACCCUGACGCAGCGACGCCGCGUGCGGGAUGAAGGCCUUCGGGUUGUAAACCGCUUUCAGCAGGGACGAGGCCUUAUGGUGACGGUACCUGCAGAAGAAGCUCCGGCUAAAUACGUGCCAGCAGCCGCGGUAAUACGUAUGGAGCAAGCGUUAUCCGGAUUCAUUGGGCGUAAAGCGCUCGUAGGCGGUCUGUUAGGUCGGCAAGUUAAAUCCGGGGGCUCAACCCCCGUCCGCUUCCGAUACCGGCAGACUUGAGUUUGGUAGGGGAAGGUGGAAUUCCUAGUGUAGCGGUGGAAUGCGCAGAUAUUAGGAAGAACACCGGUGGCGAAGGCGGCCUUCUGGGCCAUAACUGACGCUGAGGAGCGAAAGCGUGGGGAGCAAACAGG